GUGUCGCUUCCCUUGGUGUGGUGUGAGGAAGCUGGAGCAGCUCAGUGGUUCCUAGAACUUUGUGUUGUGUCAGGACGUGGCGAGUGGUAUCGAGGCCCCACUUGAAGUGUGCUACCUCCCCCUCCAGCGGCCAGCAGGUGUGUCGCCUUUCAUGACUGGCGGGAAGUACAGGGACGUGUUUUGAAUCUACAUCGUACGAGAGAAAGAUGUACAGUGGCUUUCCAAUGGAUUAAGCAGAGAAGGUGACGUAUACAACACAGCGAGAGUUACAGGUGAAUUUUGCUUCAAGUGACGUCUCAAUUGAAUCACAAAUGCCCUACAUCCAAGAACUAGUGAGUGUCUGUGACGUGGUUCUGUUAGCAUGCAGGUGUACAGGUGUGACGUCCAGCCUCGACACGUGGUGGCGUGAUCUAUGUUUUCAUGGCUAGAUGGUGUAAGUGCCGCCACGACCACCUGACCCGCAACACGCUAUAUUACAGAUUUCACCUUAGCACCACAUCCCUUGCGUCUCACUCCACUGCACCUUCAGUACCACCACCACCACCUCCUCCUCCUCCACUGCCGCCGCCGCGCUGCCGCCCUCACCGCUCAGCCACGCCCCCUCGUGGCCACACCCACCACCCUGCUGCGCCGAAACAAAUGCAUCCGCUGUGCUUUCCUGCACGUAUUUGGGUGUAUGAGGCAACAAAUGUUCCUUGUAGCACAAGAGUAUCCAUUGUCAGAUGGAAUAUUCAGAUGUAGCUUGACCUCCCUCCGGCCAAUGCUGCCAACAACACCAGUUUGUCCAAGGCGGGAAAAUAAAACUAAAAAAGAAAAAAAAGAAAAAGAAAAAAAAAGCCACGGACGAGCAUGAGAACACAAUACUGAAGAUUUAUAAAUUUCAGAGGGGUAUAGUGCAACUUCUGGUACAGGCAAACGUAUAUGUGUGUAUAAGUGGAGUUGGCUGUUGUUUGUUAUGCAUUUUAUGUGAAUAGUUUGUUGAUUAUUCAUGUCGCGCUUAAUGUAUGCAGGACUGAUGAGUGAAUUGUGAAGUGAGGCACUAUCGGUUAUUUCAUUUGUUGAAAUAUAUAACAACAUUCACACGGCCGUGCUGCAUGUAUGUAGCUGCUGCUUGCUGUGUGUGUGUGUGUGUGUGUGUGUGUGUGUGUGUGUGUGUGUGUGUGCCCGUUAGUUCAACAUCGUUCCAUCCAGUUGCAUUAUAAUCUUAACAACACAUCACCGCCGCCGCCACCAUCAUACCACCACCACCAUUUCACUUCACCACCAUUACAAACAUACACCCACUACUCACAUCAACUACACCUCCACCCAUGAAGCUGUACAGCUCUGCCAUCCAGCACCACAUCAUCACCACACCUCCGCGGCCUCCCCUCAUCACCGCAUCCAUCACCACUCCAGCAUGAACGGUGUGAACACGUGAUGCAUGGCGGUGUAAAUCAAGAAGUCAAAUUGUCUCUCUCUCUCUCUCUCUCUCUCUCUCUCUCUCUCUCUCUCUCUCUCUCUCUCUCUCUCUCUCUCUCUCUCUCUCUCUCUCUCUCUCUCUCUCAAUAUCUAUCUAUCUUAGGAUAUUUUCUGAAAGGUUUUCAAUACGGGUAAUCGUGUUUACUUAAUUUCUGGAAGUCACAAAUACCAAGUUACAUGGAUCUAGAUCCUUUGUAUUAUUUUGUUAUGUGCACACCAGAAUAUAGUUACAAUUAAGUUACGUAUUUCCUGUGUGUGUGUGUGUGUGUGUGUGUGUGUGUGUGUGUGUGUGUGUGUGUGUGUGUGUGUGUGUGUGUGUGUGUGUGUGUGUGUGUGUGUGUGUGUGUGUGUGUGUGUGUGUGUGUGUGUGUGUAACGACGCAGUUUGAAAGAAAGUAUUGUUCGCAGCGGCGACGAACGAGUGCGGCAUUUUUUUCCGGUGAGUGACAGAGAGAUUUCUUUCACAGUGAACGAGAGAGAGAGAGAGAGAGAGAGAGAGAGAGAGAGAGAGAGAGAGAGAGAGAGAGAGAGAGAGAGAGAAUGAACAAGUGAAUACCACACGCAAGAGAGGAGUUGUCAUUCAAGUUUGGUGAUAAAGACUGGAAUAAUGUUGCGUCUCCUGAAUAUAAUCGACACCAGGAGAAGACGGACGCGCUUUAGACUCAUAGGGAUAUUGGAUUGACACACCUUCAAGCAGCACCACUACAGUGUAGAGGGUAGACCAAGGGUGACGGGUCCUGAAGGAUUGUGGCUUAGCGGUGAAUGACAUCUGGGGAACCUUACUGAGUACUUUCCAUCGCACCCUAAGAAAAUAUAAAGAGCAAGACACUUAUCCUUGUAGAACUGACACCUCAUUGGGCCUUUUUUUCGUUCGUUAUGUUGCUCUAGGCCAGUGCUCCUGUUACAAAAAGAAUGAAAAA